UUAGCCCUAUCGCAACAGGGCAAGUGCAGGAGACGCGUCAUGUUUUUCGACAACGUGGUGAUCGCCGGAGUGCUGACUGUCAGCCUCAUGUUUGUAUUUUUUGCAGGUUUCGGACUUUUUAUCUGGAAGGAUUCGCACAAGCGGAAAUAACCGUGGUUCUUUCUGGAUGUAAUGAGCACGCAAGGCAUUUUGGGCAACUUCGGUUGCCCUUUUUUUUU
rnacentral:sRNA from 1 species